GAGAUUUCCGUGGUUUCGCAUGGCAUACUUCUUCCUAUGGACGAUUUUUUACGUUAUUUUUCAAUGGCUCGUCCAUGCUUUUAUUUUCCUUUGGUGGCCAUACCCAUUUCUUGACUUGUCAUCUCCAUUUGCUCCCUUAUGGUAUUCUUCGAUGGCUCUGAUGCACAUCCCAUGCUAUGGCAUUUUCAUGCUGAUAAUGAAAUUGAAGUACUUCUUAUUGUUAAAGUGGUUCCCAAAUUCCUAUCAAUGUGUGAAGUACUAAACAUUUGUACUUUCUUAAAAGCUAAGAAUUAUCACAACAUAGUGUUCCAAUUAUAUUGACAAGAGUACCCAUAAAAACAAGAAAUUCUUCCCAAAAUUACAUGGAAUCGAAUUCUUGAAAAUAUUG